UAACAUGCAAGUCGAACGGCAGCACGGGGGCAACCCUGGUGGCGAGUGGCGAACGGGUGAGUAAUACAUCGGAACGUGUCCUGUAGUGGGGGAUAGCCCGGCGAAAGCCGGAUUAAUACCGCAUACGAUCUACGGAAGAAAGCGGGGGAUCGCAAGACCUCGCGCUAUAGGGGCGGCCGAUGGCAGAUUAGCUAGUUGGUGGGGUAAAGGCCUACCAAGGCGACGAUCUGUAGCUGGUCUGAGAGGACGACCAGCCACACUGGGACUGAGACACGGCCCAGACUCCUACGGGAGGCAGCAGUGGGGAAUUUUGGACAAUGGGGGAAACCCUGAUCCAGCAAUGCCGCGUGUGUGAAGAAGGCCUUCGGGUUGUAAAGCACUUUUGUCCGGAAAGAAAACUUCUGCCCUAAUACGGCGGGAGGAUGACGGUACCGGAAGAAUAAGCACCGG
rnacentral:rRNA from 2 species